GAAAGCUGACUAUCGGACGUGGUGGUGUGACAUGUCCGUUGCAGAAGCAUCCGAGAAAGUCAGCGUAAUAUAAUUCAUCCAACUGUGAGCAAGAGUCAGUUUCGGGAUUAAGAGCCCUCAACAAAUACAACAACGAGCUAUAUUCAAGUUGUAGCACAAAGUUCGUACAGCCGUGAUUAUUCCCGAACACCUAUGCAGUGAGAAAUGCCUGAAAAGUUAAUGGUACGCUAAAAUCCCAUAAAUAUCGAUGUAAUGGAUAGAUUUUCCCAUACAGGCUUUGUGGCAACUGCCAUGUAGCUUCGUAUUGCAUGAUGGAACAAGGAUACUCCUUCGUCAUCAGUGAUGUCACACAUGGCAGAACACUGCUAAAAGAAAGUAGGGGCCUGACGACCAGGACUUCAGAAAAUGUCUAACCCAAGUGUAAUGAAUAUCUCUCACCAUAAAUCAGCAGCCAUGCAUUUCCGAUCACAUAAGUAAUAGAUAUGUUUAUGUUUACUGACCAAAACAAUUAUCGUUGUAAAGUUUUAUUGAAGAUCCACGCAGUGAUAAUUUGUGUAGUCCUUAGAAGGUCUUUGUUACUAAUAUGGCUUGAUAGUUGGCCGUAAAGCAUCACCAAUGGGGCAAGACAA